rnacentral:rRNA from 1 species
UACGAAGGGGGCUAGCGUUGUUCGGAAUUACUGGGCGUAAAGCGCACGUAGGCGGUCUUUUAAGUCGGGGGUGAAAUCCUGGAGCUCAACUCCAGAACUGCCUUCGAUACUGGAAGACUUGAGUCCGGGAGAGGUGAGUGGAACUGGCGAGUGUAGAGGUGAAAUUCGUAGAUAUUCGCAAGAACACCAGUGGCGAAGGCGGCUCACUGGCCCGGUACUGACGCUGAGGUGCGAAAGCGUGGGGA